GGAUCGCGGGCGAUCUCCCGCGGUCCGCCCGAGGGUGGGGGUACGGCCCAUCAGGUUGUUGGCGGGGUAACGGCCCGCCAAGCCGAAGACGGGUAGGGGCGGUGAGAGCCGUGAGCCCCGAGAUGGGCACUGAGACAAGGGCCCAGGCCCUACGGGGUGCAGCAGGCGCGAAUACUCCGCAAUGCGGGCAACCGCGACGGGGCCACCCCGAGUGCCGGGCGAAGAGCCCGGCUUUUGCCCGGUGUAAGGAGCCGGGCGAAUAAGCGGGGGGUAAGUCUGGUGUCAGCCGCCGCGGUAAUACCAGCCCCGCGAGUGGUCAGGGUGAUUACUGGGCUUAAAGCGCCCGUAGCCGGCCCGGCAAGUCGCUCCUGAAAUCCCCAGGCUCAACCUGGGGGCAGGGGGCGAUACUGCCGGGCUAGGGGGCGGGAGAGGCCGCCGGUACUCCGGGGGUAGGGGCGAAAUCCUAUAAUCCCCGGAGGACCACCAGUGGCGAAAGCGGGCGGCCAGAACGCGCCCGACGGUGAGGGGCGAAAGCCGGGGGAGCAAAGGGGAUUAGAUACCCCUGUAGUCCCGGCCGUAAACGAUGCGGGCUAGCUGUCGGCCGGGCUUAGGGCCCGGCCGGUGGCGUAGGGAAACCGUUAAGCCCGCCGCCUGGGGAGUACGGCCGCAAGGCUGAAACUUAAAGGAAUUGGCGGGGGGGCACCACAAGGGGUGAAGCUUGCGGCUUAAUUGGAGUCAACGCCGGA
rnacentral:rRNA from 1 species